rnacentral:sRNA from 1 species
UUGGGAAAGUGUGUCGCCUUUCCACCAAUGGAGUCGUAUAGUAACUAUCGUUGUUGAGGUGUAGGGAGUUGAUCAUGAUGUUCUGUAGGGCGCCGAGAUGGAGUGUGAGCGUGAAAGAACCCACACCCCAACAACCAAUGGGUCAGAGUUUUCACAGAUGGAUCCUCUAAAAAAAUCCAACACAAAUGGAAGAGCUGGUAUACUUUUUAGAAAAGUCACGUGCAGCUGACAGCCAUAGAGCAGAAAGGCAAGCACUUGAACUAGCAGCUACACACUAAUUAACUACUCAUGUACACCUAGCAGCCAAAUUGUUUUACAGACCGAUGCCAAAAACAAAAAACUCUGAUACCAUCUUCUUCAAAGUUGCAUACUUUAUCAAGAGGCCCAAACAAGACUCUGGCCCCAAAAUCCUCCUAUAGAAGAAAAACUAUACACAGGGUUCGUACGCCGUCUGAAAAGUCUGGAAUUUUAAAAAAUGAAUUUCAGUCUGGAAAAUCAGUACUUUUCACUCCGACUGAACAAAAAUGUCUGGAAAAAGUCUGGAAUUUAAAAAAAAAAAGAAAAAAUAUUUCUUGCAAAAAAAAAAAAGUCUCGGUUUCGUUUUAUAAUGAUAGCGGC